CACCCUCCUGGGGACUGUUUUCUUUUGGGGGCUGGCUGCUGUUAUUGUUAGACCUUCAUGGCUACAACAGUCCUGUUCCCCCUUAGAUUGCAGCUAACAGGGUUACUAUUUCCUGUUACAAAGAUAUUGUCUAACUUAGGGAAACAUAGUGUGAUCCAAAAAUCUUCAUAUCCAGUUUUGUAAAAUAGAAAACAGAAGGAAACCUACUGGAUUAAAUCAGCAGGAUAAAUCAAUUAUAACUCAGAUCAGUGGGAAUUAGAUUUAAUUCCCUCUCAUGGUAAACAUGGAAAGAAUCAAUAUAAUUUGAAUAGUAUUUUAUAAUGGCUGAGAAUCUUGCAAUAGGAUAAUGAAAUUAGAUUUUUUUUUUAAAGCUGAGCAAUAACAGAACUGUUAAAAUUAGAUCCUGAAACUAAACCAGAGAUAAAAAGAUAAACUUUCAAAAUUAACUUCUAUUAAAUGAGAGAGAGAUGGGAUUAGGCAGGACCCCCUGAAUACCCAUGUAAAGCUAAAAAUCCAAAAAGUUCAACAUUAAGAAAUUGGGGUAAUAUGUUUGUAAUAGGAAAUCUUUGUAGAAGCCAGUUAUUCAGUGGGGGAGGAUCCCACUAAUAGGUUUCAGGUACUCACCAAAUAGCUUGUCCCAACAAAAUAAUUGUUGUUAGUGGUGUGAUUGGUUACCUACAUCUAAUAUUGCAUCUACUCUCAAGUUGGAAUCUGAAAGUUUUAAACAAGUGAAUGACAGACAAGUAAAAGGCUUGUUGGGAAUUGGCCUUGAUAUAGGCCAAGACAUUAGGGUCCUGGACUACUAUAAUUCAUUAUGUCAUAUGGGGAUUCUCCCAUGCCAGAUGACUGAUAUAACCUCUCUCCAGGCUGCAAUCUCUUCUAUGCCAUUGCCUGCCAUUCUGCUGUUCAGGAUCUCAGAUUCGUAUACUACAAAGAAAGCAGCACAUAACUUGGCUAGAACAUUAUUCAUUAAAAGUCAGUAUUGUAGUCAUUUAAGGACUCAUCCAAAUGCAGAAAUUGACUUUAAUGAGCUGUGGAUAAGGCCCUCACUUUUGGCCAAGAAAAGUAAUGUGAUGUGUAACUCUGAUCUGAACGGAGCCAUGGAGGUCCCUGGAAGUCACUGGACACACUUUUUUAAAGUAAAAUAAAUCUUAUGUGCUUCUGGGUGACAGAAUCUGUCCCCCUAAAAAAUUUAUUUGUAGCAGUGUGCUAAGAUAUUGCAGUAACCUGAAUGCUGAAAUAUAUACAGAGAAAUGACUAAAGUGGACAUGAAAAUACUAAUGAUGUAAAAGAGACUUUGGGAAGGAGGAGAAAGGAAAUAGCUGUCUAUAGAGUAUACUUAAUCUUUCAUAUUCUAAUUAUGCAUUCAUUUUUCACUCAACUGUUCCAUUGAUGCUGAUGUAAAAGAUUCAGGAGAAGGCCCUUAAACACUUGCAGAAGAAAAGUGGACCUAAAUCAGUCAGGCUAAAAAUGUAUCAGUUGUUCACCACAGUAUGAGUAUGACAUAGGCUUGUAUGUGAUAAACAAGGGAAAUGUGUUAGACAGAUGCUCUCUGGGUAUCUGAACACUUUGAUCAUAUUAUCUUGUAUUGUCUUCCUUCUAUGUAUUGAAUCUCUGAUCUCUUGUCUAUCUUGUAUGUAUUGCUGUACUCGAAACAGUUUAAAAAUCA